GACAGAGGGGGCAAGCGUUGCUCGGAAUUACUGGGCGUAAAGGGUGCGUAGGCGGCGCGGUAAGUCGGCGUGUGAAAUCUCGGAGCUUAACUCCGAAACUGCAUUCGAUACUGCCGUGCUUGAGGAGCUGGAGAGAGACUGGAAUUCAUGGUGUAGCAGUGAAAUGCGGUAGAGAGUGUGGAAGGAACACCGGAUGGCCGCUA
rnacentral:rRNA from 1 species